AUUGAACGCUGGCGGCAGGCCUAACACAUGCAAGUCGAGCGGACUGAGGUAGCUUGCUACCAAGGUUAGCGGCGGACGGGUGAGUAACGCGUAGGAAUCUACCUGGUAAUGGGGGAUAACGUUCCGAAAGGAACGCUAAUACCGCAUACGCCCUAAGGGGGAAAGUGGGGGACCUUCGGGCCUCACGUUAUCAGAUGAGCCUGCGUAGGAUUAGCUAGUUGGUAGGGUAAAGGCCUACCAAGGCGACGAUCCUUAACUGGUCUGAGCGGAUGAUCAGUCACACUGGAACUGAGACACGGUCCAGACUCCUACGGGAGGCAGCAGUGGGGAAUAUUGGACAAUGGGGGAAACCCUGAUCCAGCCAUGCCGCGUGUGUGAAGAAGGCCUUCGGGUUGUAAAGCACUUUCGGUCAGAAAGAAGGGUGUGUAGUUAAUAACUGCAUACUUUGACGGUACUGACAUAAGAAGCACCGGCUAACUCCGUGCCAGCCGCCGCCGUAAAAC
rnacentral:rRNA from 1 species